rnacentral:rRNA from 1 species
CCGUAGGUGAACCUGCAGAAGGAUCA